GAUGAAGGACUUAAGACAAAGAGUGGUUAAGUGAUCACCUAAUCUAAGACUUGACAGGCAGUGAAGUUAUCCUAAGACUUUGACUUUCAAUGAUUCAAUUACUGAUUCAACUAAUAAUCAACAUUGUCACUAAAUGUGUGUCAGGCUCUGUUUCUGGCACUGAAGAUGUUACCAGUAACUUCCUUGUAGAACCUAGAGGAAGGGAUCCCAUUCCUGUCUGUGGAGACAAGAGGCUAUAAUAGGUUCCUUUCUGAAUCUUCCCACCUCCACUCUUCUGUGUGACAAAGUCCCAGUGGUUGAAGCAUUAUGAUGAAAGGUGAAGACUGAAAUAGAGAUGAGCACAGUGAAUCCUCUGCACUUAGAUCAGAACCAACUCUUCUCUGGACGAUGAAGUUUUUGGUGAUCCCCAAAACUGAAGAAUUGGAUCCUAAGCUGACUGCUAAUGGCCUAUGGGACAAGCAGAUGCACAGGCCAGUCACCUGCAUCUAUAGAAGCUGGUGAAGGGUGAGAAUUCCAACCAAAGUCAGCUCUCCCAGAUCUCUACAGUGCCUGGUCAAGGAAGAAAGGGGCAGAAGACCUUGCUGGACUUCAAAUCUCCUGACUUCAUCUUGCUACAAAGAUAGGUGUGAAUUUCAGUGUGGCCUUCUUCAUUCACAAACCACACAUGCUACACAACUAACAUCGUGAUGCAUCACAACCACUCCACAGUUUUGUAAUUUCAGGGAGAGUCUGCAGAACAGCUGUGGAUAAAGGACAGAACCCUGGGGAACCACAAUGUUUAAGAGGUAGAGGAGGAAAAAUAUCUCAUGAGGGAUUCAUAGAAGGACCAAGAAGUAAGAAGAAACCCAGAAAAAACCUAGUUUUAAGGAGGAGGCUAUAAUAAAGAGGAAAAUGUGUGAUGGGGA